rnacentral:rRNA from 1 species
UACGUAGGGGGCAAGCGUUGUCCGGAUUUAUUGGGCGUAAAGAGCGUGUAGGCGGCCAGACAGGUCAGCUGUGAAAACUCGAGGCUCAACCUCGAGACGUCGGUUGAAACCGUCUGGCUAGAGUCCGGAAGAGGAGAGUGGAAUUCCCGGUGUAGCGGUGAAAUGCACAGAUAUCGGGAAGAACACCCGUGGCGAAGGCGGCUCUCUGGGACGGUACUGACGCUGAGACGCGAAAGCGUGGGGAGCGAACAGG